rnacentral:rRNA from 1 species
GGGGAAUUUUCCGCAAUGGGCGAAAGCCUGACGGAGCAAUACCGCGUGAGGGAGGAAGGCUCUUGGGUCGUAAACCUCUUUUCUCAGGGAAGAACACAAUGACGGUACCUGAGGAAUAAGCAUCGGCUAACUCCGUGCCAGCAGCCGCGGUAAUACGGAGGAUGCAAGCGUUAUCCGGAAUGAUUGGGCGUAAAGCGUCCGCAGGUGGCUGUGUAAGUCUGCUGUUAAAGAGUCUAGCUCAACUAGAUACAAGCAGUGGAAACUACACGGCUAGAGUACGUUCGGGGCAGAGGGAAUUCCUGGUGUAGCGGUGAAAUGCGUAGAGAUCAGGAAGAACACCAGUGGCAAAGGCGCUCUGCUAGGCCGUAACUGACACUGAGGGACGAAAGCUAGGGGAGCGAAUGGGAUUAGAUAUCCCAGUAGUCCUAGCCGUAAACGAUGGAUACUAAGCGUGGCUUGUAUCGACCCGAGCCGUGCCGUAGCUAACGCGUUAAGUAUCCCGCCUGGGGAGUACGCCGGCAACGGUGAAACUCAAAGGAAUUGACGGGGGCCCGCACAAGCGGUGGAGUAUGUGGUUUAAUUCGAUGCAACGCGAAGAACCUUACCAAGGCUUGACAUGUCGCGAAUCUUGAUGAAAGUUGAGAGUGCCUUCGGGAGCGCGAACACAGGUGGUGCAUGGCUGUCGUCAGCUCGUGUCGUGAGAUGUUGGGUUAAGUCCCGCAACGAGCGCAACCCUCGUUUUUAGUUGCCAGCAUUAAGUUGGGCACUCUAGAGAGACUGCCGGUGACAAACCGGAGGAAGGUGGGGAUGACGUCAAGUCAGCAUGCCCCUUACGCCUUGGCCUACACACGUACUACAAUGCUCCGGACAGAGGGCAGCAAGCCAGCGAUGGCAAGCAAAUCCCGUAAACCGGAGCUCAGUUCAGAUCGCAGGCUGCAACUCGCCUGCGUGAAGGAGGAAUCGCUAGUAAUUGCAGGUCAGCAUACUGCAGUGAAUUCGUUCCCGGGCCUUGUACACACCGCCCGUCACACCAUGGAAGCUGGUAGUGCCCGAAGUCAUUACUCCAACCUUUCGGGGGGGAGGAUGCCUAAGGCAGGACUGGUGACUGGGGU